rnacentral:tRNA from 1 species
UAGGAGAUAGUAUAAUGGGAAGUACAUAAAAUUUUGGGUUUUAUGGUGCAGGUUCAAGUCCUGUUUUCUAGGG